ACAAGGCAUACGGCUCAGUAACGCGUAGCCCUUUAACCUAUGGACGGGAAUAACCUCGGGAAACUGAGACCUCUUGCCCGAUAGAACAUUAUGCCUGGAAUGGUUUAUGUUCCAAAUGAUUUAUCGCCGUAGGAUGGGACUGCGGCCUAUCAGUUUGUUGGUGAGGUAAUGGCCCACCAAGACUAUUACAGGUACGGGCUCUGAGAGGAGUAGCCCGGAGAUGGGUACUGAGACACGGACCCAGGCCCUAUGGGGCGCAGCAGGCGAGAAAACUUUGCAAUGUGCGAAAGCACGACAAGGUUAAUCCGAGUGGUUUCUGCUAAAGAAACCUUUUGUCAGUCCUAGAAACACUGAUGAAUAAGGGGUGGGCAAGUUCUGGUGUCAGCCGCCGCGGUAAAACCAGCACCUCAAGUGGUCAGGAUGAUUAUUGGGCCUAAAGCAUCCGUAGCCGGCUCUGUAAGUUUUCGGUUAAAUCUGUACGCUCAACGUACAGGCUGCCGGGAAUACUGCAGAGCUAGGGAGUGGGAGAGGUAGACGGUACUCGGUAGGAAGGGGUAAAAUCCUUUGAUCUAUUGAUGACCACCU
rnacentral:rRNA from 1 species